rnacentral:lncRNA from 1 species
ACAAUAGCCUAUUUUCAUACAAUGUUUAUACAACACUAGACAUCUUUUUCUCGAUGAGUGGGACACUAUACAUAAUAUGUUAGUACUAACUAUCAAUACUCCCCCCUCAAACCAGUGUAUAUUAGUCAUAUGUAUCGAGCUUGCUACAGUUGUAAUUAGUACGAGGACUAGUAAGAGGCUAAGGGAAAAUAUCUACAAGUUCAUCAUUUGACUUUACACACUUUUUUUUGAUAAUGAUAACAAUUUUUUUUUUAUGUAUAAAGGGAGAACUGCACGUUGUGAAGUCUCCUUAGUUACAAAAAAGAGAAUAAAAUCCUAGAUCUGUAUCAUCUUACAAAAAAUCUAGGACAUAAAAAUAGUGUCCGCUUCUUCUAUGCUAACUUUUUUACACCAAAAAUAGAAUAGGACUAGAAGGAUUGGACCUCUAGAUCCGUACCCGUGUCGGACACCCGCACCAGUGUCCGAGCAACUUAGCUUAUGAGUACGGGGAACUAACUUAUUUUUUUUCCAGGAUUAAGGUUAUGAACAAAGCACGAGCUCCCAAAGAGAAUAGAACAAGAUAAAUAAUGGAACUUGAUUAUGGAUAGUUGAUGAUGAUAUACGAUUA